rnacentral:pre_miRNA from 9 species
UAUCGAUAGCGUAAAAGUUAACUCAUAUUUGUAUGGAGUGGGAUCGGUUGCCUAUGCUUGCCGCUAGGGGCGCUGUUCCAACUGCAUACAAAAUUGGGCUAACUUUUACGCUAUCGA